rnacentral:rRNA from 1 species
CCCGCUGAACUUAAGCAUAUCAAUAAGCGGAGGAAAAGAAACUAUACAAGGAUUCCCCUAGUAACGUCGAGUGAAGCGGGAUGAGCUCAAAUUUAGAAAUCUGGUAGCCUUUGGUUGCCCAAGUUGUAAUCUAGAGAAGCGUUUUCCGUGCUGGACUGUGUACAAGUUUCCUGGAUACGGAACAUCAUAGAGGGUGAGAAUCCCGUCCUUGACACAGACUCCCAGUGCUUUGUGAUGCUGCUCUCAACGAGUCGAGUUGUUUGGGAUUGCAGCUCAAAAUGGGAGGUAAAUCUCCUUCUAAAGCUAAAUAUUGGCGAGAGACCGAUAGCGAACAAGUACCGUGAGGGAAAGAUGAAAAGCACUUUGGAAAGAGAGUUAAACAGUACGUGAAAUUGUUAAAAGGGAAACGAUUGAAGUCAGUCGCGUCUACUUGGACUCAGCCUUACCUCGGUUUGGUGCAUUUCCUUGUGGACGGGCCAGUGUCCAUGUUGAUUGCUGGAAAAGGUUCAGGGGAAUGUGGCUCUUUUAGAGUGUUAUAGCCUCUGUUCAUAUACAGUAGUUGAUAUGGAGUGCAUACAGCAUGCUUCGGCGGUGCUUGUACUGGCAUAAUGGCUUUAAACGACCCGUCUUGAAACACGG